rnacentral:rRNA from 1 species
UGGAGCAAAUCUCAAAAAGCCGUCCCAGUUCGGAUCGCAGGCUGCAACCCGCCUGCGUGAAGUUGGAAUCGCUAGUAAUCGCGGAUCAGCAUGCCGCGGUGAAUACGUUCCCGGGCCUUGUACACACCGCCUGUCACACCAUGAGAGUCGGGAACACCCGAAGUCCGUAGCCUAACCGCAAGGGGGGCGCGGCCGAAGGUGGGUUCGAUAAUUGGGGUGAAGUCGUAACAAGGUACC